UACGAAGGGGGCUAGCGUUGCUCGGAAUCACUGGGCGUAAAGCGCACGUAGGCGGCUUCUUAAGUCAGGGGUGAAAUCCUGGAGCUCAACUCCAGAACUGCCCUUGAUACUGAAGAUCUUGAGUUCGGGAGAGGUGAGUGGAACUGCGAGUGUAGAGGUGAAAUUCGUAGAUAUUCGCAAGAACACCAGUGGCGAAGGCGGCUCACUGGCCCGAUACUGACGCUGAGGCACGAAAGCGUGGGGAGCAAACAGGG
rnacentral:rRNA from 1 species